GGCUUACCAAGGCAAUGAUGCAUAGCCGAGUUGAGAGACUGAUCGGCCACAUUGGGACUGAGACACGGCCCAAACUCCUACGGGAGGCAGCAGUAGGGAAUCUUCCACAAUGGACGAAAGUCUGAUGGAGCAACGCCGCGUGAGUGAAGAAGGGUUUCGGCUCGUAAAGCUCUGUUGGUAGUGAAGAAAGAUAGAGGUAGUAACUGGCCUUUAUUUGACGGUAAUUACUUAGACAGUCACGGCUAACUACGUGCCAGCAGCCGCGGUAAUACGUAGGUGGCAAGCGUUGUCCGGAUUUAUUGGGCGUAAAGCGAGUGCAGGCGGUUCAAUAAGUCUGAUGUGAAAGCCUUCGGCUCAACCGGAGAAUUGCAUCAGAAACUGUUGAACUUGAGUGCAGAAGAGGAGAGUGGAACUCCAUGUGUAGCGGUGGAAUGCGUAGAUAUAUGGAAGAACACCAGUGGCGAAGGCGGCUCUCUGGUCUGCAACUGACGCUGAGGCUCGAAAGCAUGGGUAGCGAACAGGAUUAGAUACCCUGGUAGUCCAUGCCGUAAACGAUGAGUGCUAAGUGUUGGGAGGUUUCCGCCUCUCAGUGCUGCAGCUAACG
rnacentral:rRNA from 1 species